GACUUUGAUCGCGCUGGUGCCUCACGCGCCCAUAUCUGGAAACAGCAGUCGUUCACAGAGCCAUGCGGCGCGAGCAGCGGGCCACUUUGGCAUAUUUUUGCUCAUUAUGAUUUUUUUUUCCCGUCGAUUCUGAAACAUGUAUGGAAUCCAAAGCCUGUUUUACNUCAUAUUAGAAUGAUUUCUAAAGGAUCAUGUGAUAAUGAUCCUAAAAAUUCAGCUUUGCAUCACAGAAAUAAAUGAUAAUUUAAAGUAUAAUAAAUUUAAAAACAAUUAUUUUAAAUUGUAAUAAUAUAUCACAAUAUUACAUUUUUUUUCUGUAUUUUUGAUCAAAUAAAUGCAGGCUUGAUGAGCAGAAGAAACUUCUUUCAAUAACAUUAAAAAUAGUAAUGUUUCCAAACUUUUAACCUAUAUAGUUUCUUCUGCUCAUCAAGCCUGCAUUAAUUUUUAAUUUUUUUUUAGAUAUCAAAUAGAUUUUAAUAACUUUUUACCACCAUGGUCUGGCAAAAUGUGUGAAAUCAUCUGACUGAUGAUGAAGCCACUUAUCAAGUCCCACUUUGUAGAAAUGUAUUUUCACAUGAAAAAAUAAAAACAAAAAACAAUGUUCUGUUCAUCUAAGUAAAAAACUAAAUUAACUGAUUUGAAUCAAUAAAACAGGAAAACAUUCAAUGGAGUGAUAUCUUUAUGAAAAUUGUAAAAUAUGAACCUACUUUGCACAUCAUUUACUAGCAGACGCUAACAUUUCACAAUGACUCCACUUUGACAGAAUGAAGUUUAGUGCUGUUUGGAAUGAAAAUCUGAACUGUUCUAAAUAUUUCUCAUCUUAGACACAGUCUGAACAAAUGAGACAUAUUGUAAAUAUCAUGCUGGCUUCAGGUUUGCAACCAAUUAUCAGCUGCAUUUCAGAAGGACCAUUUUUAUCUCCUGUUUUUCAGAGCUGGCCAGAUUUGCAGACAUUCCAAGCAAUUUCAAGCAGUCUCCACCCAACAAGACCCAAAAUUCACCCAAAUCCCCAGAUUGUGCCACUACCAGAGAAGAAACCGCCUACUACCCUGCCUCUACACUGAUUGCAUCUGCUCCUUUAAAACCACUGGAGCGUUGAAGUCUCACCUUUCGAAAUCACACCUGAUUACUCCAAAUGAUGUUUUAUUAACAAGGUUCAGGAGGAGCACGAUCAGAUAAUCAACCAAUUUGGCACAGGUGCAACUCGUUUAGCUAACCAUCUUAACUAGCAUAAUACGUGUAUAUAAAUGCAGCCUACUUACCUCUGUCCUGCGACAGUUUUCCGGCAUCCCUCCUCCACCCCAACUCCUGAUCUAUUUAUAUCCCACAUUAGGGACAGGUAGUUCUUUGGGUUCGGGCUAUAUUCCGGGCUCGGAGCCCUCCCCCAGGACAGCAUGCCAAAAUAUGCUUACUAUUUGCUAACAGAUUAGUUGUAAGGGUGAAUUCGUGAAAACAUAUUAGGAGCCAGUUAAAAAAAAAAAACAUGAAACUGUAAAGUGCCCUUUUAGCCAGUGUGAUUUUAAAACAAAUCUGAUUUCUUCAUUAAGUGGUUACAGAAGUCGAAAACAUUGCAGCUUUUCCAUUACAGACUUUAGAGCAAAUAUUGUUAUUCAAGAUGUAGAACCAAAAGAUUGUGAGCCACAAACUGCCCAGUUAUCUCCUGGAGACAGCCAUCCUCAUGAAACUGACAGGUACCCUCUUGGAGGGGAAAGUAGUUCUAUGCCUUAUCUUGAUGAGGCAAAAUAAUCUGAGUUAGAAUUGGUGGAUUAUCUAACACUUGAAAGGAAAAUGGUCUCUUUGUUGCUAUGCACACACUUUUAUCGCCAAUGCAAUGAAUUUUAUAUUGCUUGUGAUAGAUAUGAAGGACAGAUAUGAAAGACUUAGGCCAAGAAUUUUUUGACUGCGCCUGUUGUUAUUGUUGCACAUUAAUUUGGACUUGAAUUUUGUAUUAAUUUUUACUUGAAGCUUUCCUCAUUUAAUCAAUUAUAUAGAAGUUUUAACUUUUGCAACUCAAAGCUGGCAAAUAAGCUCUUAACUUGAACAGGCAUUUUUUGUAAUUGUCUUUUAUAAUUAAUUUUUUUGUAAAUGAAAUGAGUUGAUUUGGUUUGACUUAAAUUUUCUGUUCUACAAAGAAAUAAUUUUGAUGCAAUAAAAAGGUUGUGGUUCUGUCCGUUUAAAGAUUG
ensembl:lncRNA